CCUACGGGGGACAGCAGUGAGGAAUAUUGGUCAAUGGCCGGAAGGCUGAACCAGCCAAGCCGCGUGAAGGACGAAGGUGCCAAGCAUUGUAAACUUCUUUUGUCAAGGGACAAAAUCAGGCUCGUAAGCCUGACCGAGGCUACUUGAAGAAAAAGCAUCGGCUAACUCCGUUCCAGCAGCCGCGGUAAUAGGGAGGAUGCGAGCGUUAUCCGGUUUUAUUGGGUUUAACGGGUGCGUAGGGGGACUGUUAAGUCAGCGGUAAAAUCCCGGGGUUCAACGCCGGCGUGCCGUUGAAACUGGUUGUCUUGAGAGGUCGAGAGGAGUGCGGAACGCGAAGUGGAGCGGUGAAAUGCUUAGAUAUUGCGCAGAACUCCGAUUGCGAAGGCAGCAUACCGGCGGCGAUCUGACGCUGAGGUACGAAAGCGUGGGUAUCGAACAGGAUUAGAUACCCUGGUAGUC
rnacentral:rRNA from 1 species